CUAGUUUUGUCAGACUUGAAAAGCCUAUUAUGAUACAACGUAAGUUCAGGGAUGCAUGAUCAUUAUCAUGGCCCUCAUAUUUGAUAGUUAUGCAAAGGUAGGUGUUCUUUUAUUACUCUCUAAUCACUCCUGAUGUUACACUUUCUGAGUUCCUGGACACUCUGAGCCUUUCUUCCGGGUAAGAAGUCAUGCUGUUGUAAAACAGAUGCUUAUCCUUGAGAUAAGGAAGGUAUUCGGCUGUCUCUCUCAGAAGUGAAGACAGUGUUUCUAUGUUCUAAAUACCUUGUUUCUGAGCUGCCUCUACCGGCUCUCAUUUUUCCCUAGUCUACCCUGCAUUAGUAGGAAGAUACUCCAUAAAACAUCAAGGCCAUGUCCCUGGGGAAGGGCUCCUGGGCUCUUCUCCAUGGAGUGUUUAUAUGUUGCUUUCAGUAAACUUGCUGGUUCGCCACACUUUAC